rnacentral:rRNA from 1 species
UGGGGAAUAUUGCACAAUGGGCGAAAGCCUGAUGCAGCAACGCCGCGUGAGUGAUGAAGGUCUUCGGAUUGUAAAGCUCUGUCUUUUGGGACGAUAAUGACGGUACCAAAGGAGGAAGCCACGGCUAACUACGUGCCAGCAGCCGCGGUAAUACGUAGGUGGCGAGCGUUGUCCGGAUUUACUGGGCGUAAAGGGUGCGUAGGCGGAUGUUUAAGUGAGAUGUGAAAUACCCGGGCUUAACUUGGGUGCUGCAUUUCAAACUGGAUAUCUAGAGUGCAGGAGAGGAGAAUGGAAUUCCUAGUGUAGCGGUGAAAUGCGUAGAGAUUAGGAAGAACACCAGUGGCGAAGGCGAUUCUCUGGACUGUAACUGACGCUGAGGCACGAAAGCGUGGGUAGCAAACAGGAUUAGAUACCCUGGUAGUCCACGCCGUAAAACGAUGAGUACUAGGUGUAGGAGGUAUCGACCCCUUCUGUGCCG